UGCCCGGUGGCUCAUUCGGUUAAGGCACCGCUCUUGUGCCACGUGGAUGAGCCUCGCAGCCUCGGAUCGAAUCCGGACCGGGCCC
rnacentral:tRNA from 1 species